rnacentral:rRNA from 1 species
UACAGAGGGUGCAAGCGUUAAUCGGAAUUACUGGGCGUAAAGCGCACGUAGGUGGCUGGGUAAGUUGGAUGUGAAAUCCCCGGGCUUAACUUGGGAAUUGCAUUCAAGACUGCCUUGCUAGAGUACUGGAGAGGGUAACGGAAUUCACGGUGUAGCAGUGAAAUGCGUAGAUAUCGUGAGGAACACCAGAGGCGAAGGCGGUUACCUGGACAGUUACUGACGCUCAGGCACGAAAGCAUGGGGAGCAAAAGGG